rnacentral:rRNA from 1 species
GGAGUUUGAUCCUGGCUCAGGACGAACGCUGGCGGCGUGCUUAACACAUGCAAGUCGAACGAGAAUCUGUGGAGAGAGGAUUCGUCCAAUUGAAGCAGAGGACAGUGGCGGACGGGUGAGUAACGCGUGAGGAACCUGCCUUUCUGAGGGGGACAACAGUUGGAAACGACUGCUAAUACCGCAUGACAUAUAGAUGUCGCAUGGCAUUUAUAUCAAAGAUUUAUCGCUGAAAGAUGGCCUCGCGUCUGAUUAGCUAGUUGGUGAGGUAACGGCCCACCAAGGCGACGAUCAGUAGCCGGACUGAGAGGUUGAACGGCCACAUUGGGACUGAGAUACGGCCCAGACUCCUACGGGAGGCAGCAGUGGGGAAUAUUGGGCAAUGGGCGCAAGCCUGACCCAGCAACGCCGCGUGAAGGAAGAAGGCUUUCGGGUUGUAAACUUCUUUUGUCAGGGACGAGUAGAAGACGGUACCUGACGAAUAAGCCACGGCUAACUACGUGCCAGCAGCCGCGGUAAUACGUAGGUGGCAAGCGUUGUCCGGAUUUACUGGGUGUAAAGGGCGUGUAGCCGGGAGGGCAAGUCAGAUGUGAAAUCCACGGGCUCAACUCGUGAACUGCAUUUGAAACUACUCUUCUUGAGUAUCGGAGAGGCAAUCGGAAUUCCUAGUGUAGCGGUGAAAUGCGUAGAUAUUAGGAGGAACACCAGUGGCGAAGGCGGAUUGCUGGACGACAACUGACGGUGAGGCGCGAAAGCGUGGGGAGCAAACAGGAUUAGAUACCCUGGUAGUCCACGCUGUAAACGAUGAAUACUAGGUGUGCGGGGACUGACCCCCUGCGUGCCGCAGCUAACGCAAUAAGUAUUCCACCUGGGGAGUACGAUCGCAAGGUUGAAACUCAAAGGAAUUGACGGGGGCCCGCACAAGCGGUGGAUUAUGUGGUUUAAUUCGAUGAUACGCGAGGAACCUUACCCGGGCUUGAAUUGCAGAGGAAGGAUUUGGAGACAAUGACGCCCUUCGGGGCCUCUGUGAAGGUGCUGCAUGGUUGUCGUCAGCUCGUGCCGUGAGGUGUCGGCUUAAGUGCCAUAACGAGCGCAACCCCUCUCCUUAGUUGCCAUCAGGUUAAGCUGGGCACUCUGGGGACACUGCCACCGUAAGGUGUGAGGAAGGUGGGGAUGACGUCAAAUCAGCACGGCCCUUACGUCCGGGGCUACACACGUGUUACAAUGGCAGGUACAGAGAGACGGUCCCUUGCAAAACGGAUCAAAUCCUUAAAGCCUGUCUCAGUUCGGACUGGGGUCUGCAACCCGACCCCACGAAGCUGGAUUCGCUAGUAAUCGCGCAUCAGCCAUGGCGCGGUGAAUACGUUCCCGGGCCUUGUACACACCGCCCGUCAAGCCAUGAAAGCCGGGGGCGCCUAAAGUCCGUGACCGUAAGGAGCGGCCUAGGGCGAAACUGGUAAUUGGGGCUAAGUCGUAACAAGGUA